UCCCUUCAGAGUGGCACAUUCCCCCGGUC
rnacentral:piRNA from 1 species